rnacentral:ncRNA from 2 species
GAUAGGCUUCGUCCGAACAGUCGUUCAGCAAGGGAACCCGGUGUGACUCCGGGACUGGCGCGCAACGGUGACGAGUUCCGGCUCGAAGUCCGAUCGCUUGCUGUCCGGCACCACCCUCG